UACGGGGGGGGCAAGCGUUGUUCGGAAUUACUGGGCGUAAAGGGCUUGUAGGUGGCCAACUAAGUCACACGUGAAAUCCCCAGGCUUAAUCUGGGAACUGCGUGUGAUACUGGAUGGCUUGAAUCCGGGAGAGGGAUGCGGAAUUCCAGGUGUAGCGGUGAAAUGCGUAGAUAUCUGGAGGAACACCGGUGGCGAAGGCGGCAUCCUGGACCGGUAUUGACACUGAAAAGCGAAAGCCAGGGGAGCAAACGGG
rnacentral:rRNA from 1 species